rnacentral:ncRNA from 1 species
UGGAAGUCCGUAUCGGUUCUGACGUGCAAAUCGAUCGAUAGACUUGGGUAUAGGGGCGAAAGACUAAUCGAACCAUCUAGUAGCUGGUUCCUUCCGAAGUUUCCCUCAGGAUAGCUGGAACUCUUGCAGUUAUAUUCGGUAAAGCUAAUGAUUAGAGGCCUUGGGGACGUAAUGUCCUCAACCUAUUCUCAAACUUUCAAUGGAUAUGGCGUCGCAGUUUCUUUAGUGAACUGCGGCGUGAAUGCGAGUUCCAAGUGGGCCAUUUUUGGUAAGCAGAACUGGCGCUGUGGGAUGAACCAAACGUGGAGUUAAGGUGCCUAACUUCUCGCUUAUGAGACCCCAUAAAAGGUGUUGGUUGAUAUUGACAGCAGGACGGUGGCCAUGGAAGUCGGUACCCGCUAAGGAGUGUGUAACAACUCACCUGCCGAAUCAACUAGCCCUGAAAAUGGAUGGCGCUUAAGCGAGAGACCUAUACUCCGCCGUCGCGGCAUGUGCGUUGUCUAGCGCCAGGUCGCGACGAGUAGGAAGGACGUGGCGGUUGCGUUGAAGGCUAUGAGCGUAGGCUCGGCUGGAGCUUCCGUCAGUGCAGAUCGUAAUGGUAGUAGCAAAUAUUCAAGUUCGAUCCUUGAAGACUGAAGUGGAGAAGGGUUCCACGUGAACAGUAGUUGGAUGUGGGUCAGUCGAUCCUAAGGUACUGGCGAAAGCCUUGUAUCAUCGGUGGACGAAAAGCUUGCUUUUUGUCCCCGCCCGUCGAAAGGGAAUAGGGUUAAUAUUCCCUAACUGAGAUGCAAAGAUUGUGUUCUUCGGAGCACAAGCGCGGUAACGCGUUCGAACUUGGUAAGUCGCUCAGAGACCGAGCUAGAGUUUUCUUCUCUAGUUAAGGAACGGACUCCCUGGAAUUGGUUCAGCCAGAGAUGGGGACGUUGUUUCCGAAAAGCACCGCGGUUUCUGUGGUGUCUCGUGCUCUCUGAACGGCCCUUUAAACACCAAGGGAGGCUAUUAAUUUGCACUCAAUCGUACCGAUAUCCGCAUUAGGUCUCCAAGGUGAACAGCCUCUAGUCGAUAGAAUAAUGUAGGUAAGGGAAGUCGGC